rnacentral:rRNA from 1 species
UACAGAGGGUGCAAGCGUUAAUCGGAAUUACUGGGCGUAAAGCGCGCGUAGGUGGUUUGGUAAGUCGGUUGUGAAAUCCCCGGGCUUAACCUGGGAAUUGCAGUCGAUACUGUCUGACUCGAGUGUGGAAGAGGGAAGCGGAAUUUCCGGUGUAGCGGUGAAAUGCGUAGAUAUCGGAAGGAACACCAGUGGCGAAGGCGGCUUCCUGGUCCAACACUGACACUGAGGCGCGAAAGCGUGGGUAGCGAACAGG